rfam:Ponticoccus sp. SJ5A-1 ZB100000, whole genome shotgun sequence.
GGGUGAUUAGCUCAGUUGGUAGAGCGCUUCGUUUACACCGAAGAUGUCGGGAGUUCGAGUCUCUCAUCACCCA